ACUGAACCUGCCAUACAAACAGACAAUGACAACUUGUCAGAUCCUAAAGGACAAAAAUAAGUUGGAGGAAGGGGGGGGGGGUAUUUAGGUUUUCUCAUUGGGAAGAUGUAUUUUCAAGAAGGUCUAAGUUUUUAUUGAAUUGUGUUUUCCUGUGCGAAAAUUCAAGUCCUACGUUCGAGGAAAUAGUGUUGAGGGGAAAAGAAGUGUUCAGAUACGAGAAGUUGUUUUCUCUGGGAACUAGUUCUUUAAAAUAUAUAAUAAUAAUAAUUCAUUAAAUUUGUAUAGCGCUUUUCAAAGACCCAAAGACGUUUACAGGGAAACAAGGCGAGGAUGUACAGGGGGGGGGACGGGGAGGAGACAAUAGGAUAAAGUUAGGAAGAGGACACCAGUUAUGGGUAGGGGAGGUCUUAGGCUUGAGAAAAGAGGUAAGUUUUUAGACGGGACUUAAAUAUGAGGAGUGAGGGUGAGUCGCAGACAGAUUGAGGGACACAGUCUCAGAGUCA